rnacentral:rRNA from 1 species
GACGAACGCUGGCGGCGUGCCUAAUACAUGCAAGUUGAGCGCUGAAGGUUGGUACUUGUACCAACUGGAUGAGCAGCGAACGGGUGAGUAACGCGUGGGGAAUCUGCCUUUGAGCGGGGGACAACAUUUGGAAACGAAUGCUAAUACCGCAUAAAAACUUUAAACACAAGUUUUAAGUUUGAAAGAUGCAAUUGCAUCACUCAAAGAUGAUCCCGCGUUGUAUUAGCUAGUUGGUGAGGUAAAGGCUCACCAAGGCGAUGAUACAUAGCCGACCUGAGAGGGGGAUCGGCCACAUUGGGACUGAGACACGGCCCAAACUCCUACGGGAGGCAGCAGGAGGGAAUCUUCGGCAAUGGACGAAAGUCUGACCGAGCAACGCCGCGGGAGGGAAGAAGGGUGUCGGAUCGGAAAAAUCUGUUGGUAGAGAAGAACGUUGGUGAGAGUGGAAAGCUCAUCAAGUGACGGUAACUACCCAGAAAGGGACGGCUAACUACGUG